UACGUAGGUGGCGAGCGUUGUCCGGAUUUACUGGGCGUAAAGAGCGCGCAGGCGGUCGUACAAGUCGCGUGUGAAAGCCCCCGGCUCAACUGGGGAGGGUCACGCGAUACUGUUCGACUCGAAGGCAGGAGAGGGAAGUGGAAUUCCCGGUGUAGUGGUGAAAUGCGUAGAUAUCGAGAGGAACACCUGCGGCGAAGGCGGGUUGCUGGGCUGACACUGACGCUGAGGCGCGAAAGCUAGGGGAGCGAACGGG
rnacentral:rRNA from 1 species